rnacentral:misc_RNA from 1 species
GAAAUGCGAUAAGUAAUGUGAAUUGCAGAAUUCAGUGAAUCAUCGAAUCUUUGAACACACCUUGCGCUCCUUGGUAUUCCUUGGAGCAUGCCUGUUUGAGUAUCAUGAAAUCUUCAAAGUAAAUCUUUUGUUAACUCAAUUGGUUUCUACUUUGGUAUUGGAGGUCUUUGCAGCUUCACACCUGCUCCUCUUUGUUCAUUAGCUGGAUCUCAGUGUUAUGCUUGGUUCCACUCGGCGUGAUAAGUUAUCUAUCGCUGAGGACACUGUAAAAGGUGGCCAAGGUAAAUGCAGAAGAACCGCUUCUAAUAGUCCAUUGACUUGGACAAUACUUUUAUGAUCUGAUCUCAAAUCAGGUAGGACUACCCGCUGAACUUAAGC